CCUUCAGAAAUCUUUGAUGCAUCAGUGAAUUAAAAGAAAAAAAUGAGAUGUCAAGUCUUUGUGUUUCAUGUCUCUUUGCCCUUCAUUUCGGAGCAGCCCACCCAAAUACUAGGCAGGGUCUCUACGGUCUACAUUACGUUCAUGUAAUGCCAGGACACCGUGGCUCUCCCAAGGAAUGGCAUAACGAUUUCACGACUUGGAGGUGCUAAAUUGGGCUCAGCCAGCUUGAAAGAAUCCGCACCAAGUGACUGCACAGUCCAUGCUGGGCUGCAGGCAGAGACCCCAGUGAUCCAGUUUGGGGGUGUAGAAAGGAGCACCCUUACUGUCGAUCAAGAUACUGUGGCCUCUGUUCAUGACGUGGUGAACAAGGAACAAUGUGGGGUUGAUGCUCUCUAAGGUGCAGGCGUGAGUUUGUGGCUCUUCUCUCUGUAGCACACUCAUUCUGUAACAUUCUGCCCUGACCCGCUGCACUGAAAACAAAUAAAAAGC
ensembl:lincRNA